AGAGAAAUAAGAAAAGAAAAAGAAAUUGGAAAAUGGAAUGAGAUUUUUAUCUCAAUUCCCUCACUUUAAGGGAACUUUCUACAGACACACAAUCCCAUAUUGAUUUCUCUCUCAAUUGUAAAUCCCCAAAUUGAAGAAGAACGCAGCAACCUUUUCCCUCAAUUUCUCCGAUGAAUUCAUGCCGGAGCGUCUCCCUCCAUCUACGACGAGUUCUCUCCCCCGUCGGGCUCUCUCUCCUCAUCGAGCUCUCUUUCUCCCCGUCGAGCUCCUCGUCAGGUUCUGCACGCGGCUGAGCCGUCGGUUCGGGAAGACAAAAGGCAUCGCCUUUCCUUUCGCGGCUGGUCGUUCCCGGCACUGCACGGGAAGGGUUCGGUUGCCGCCGCGCUUCGCUGUCCGCCCUUGCAAGUGACGCCGCUGACCGCCAGCCUUGCGGCGUCGGCUCCUGUUCGUCGUCGGUCAACCCCUUCUCCUGGAGCUAAGUCACCCUUUUCCCCUUUUAAUUAUUCCGUAAAUCUGAGUUCUCGAUUGAUUAUUUGAUUCGAAGUUUAUAUUAGUUUUUGCUCCUAUGGUUCUCAUACAUGGGGUCUACUGAUCUGGAAAUCACUUCCUCGUUGGCUAAGCACCAGUACCAUUUCUCGAUACUUGCUCUUUAUACUUGCUAGUGUUUGAAUGUAGGGAUAACAUAGAGUUUAUCAAUAGGGCUUUCGAAGCUUACCUUGCUAAUUUGAUUUAAUUUGGGAAUUAAUUAUAGUGAGCUGAACAUGGAAUUUUAAUGAAAUUGUUGGGAUGAUUAUAUAGUUGGAUUAUUUUAGAUGGUAAGAAUUUUGAAACAUACCAGUAGAAUUAUUGUUGUGGUGAAAGAAACAGAGUAUACAACUUUUGUGACAUGUUCUGGCAGAGUUUAUUCGACUUCAGUUAAUCGAGUAAGCGAUCUCCUUUUCUUACAAAUUUUUAACUGAACAAACUUUCAUGUGUCUUCUGCCAUGUGGCCAAAAUUCAGCUUCAACCGAGUCAAAAUGAAUUUAUAAUGAUUUUUGUUAGGGGACUGUGCUGUUCUGCUAUGUUUGGGUAAAAUAGACGUUUAUGGCUUUUAUUUUCAUCUGGAUUAUGUUGAAUUUUGAUAUAAUUUAGGUACCAUUUGAGUUGGAAUUGUCAAAUAAAAGUGAAUCUCCAAUACGUUGGUGUGUUGGCUGGAAAAUUUAGAAUAUUUAUGGCAUGCUUGAAGAAACUCUUUUCCUUGGUAGGAACUCACUGUCUUCAGCUGCUGAUUUUGAAGUUUCGACACCUUUAAGGUGUUGCAAAUUGUAUUUUCAAAUUUUCUGCAUGAACCUUGAUGUGUUGAGGAGCUCUUUGUAAAAUUUCAAUUGAUUUGGCUUUCAUUUACUAUUUUUAGAAAAUCUCCAAUCACAGCCGCCAGAACUUGUCAGGUCGUGAUAGACAGUGGGAAAAUGGCCAUAUCUCCCAACCUACUUGGAAUUUUUGAAAGAACUUUGUUUUAAAAUAUAACUAGACACCAAGGGGAUUCUUUUGGUAUAUGGCUUGACCUCUUGUACUUCGUGCAAAAGAAGUAACUAAAGAGAACUUGUUUUAUGCUUAAGUUAUUUUUGGUGUUGUGUUGAUAAGAAUUAUUUAUUGAAAGGUAAUCCUGGCCCGUGGGAUAGCACGGGCAAGGAGAAGGCGAAGGAGUAAAGUUAUCUAGUACGGCAUUUGGAUUUUGAGAUUAGCUCUUUCGAUGUAAAGCUGCUCAAGUCGGGUCACUAGCCAACCUUUUUGUGUUAAAAAAUUUCUUUCGGAUAUGCUAGAUGUGGCAUGUAUAGAAAGUGUAAUAUAGUUCGACGUUUCAUUUAAUUCGUUAUCCAGGUUGUAUAAAUAUAUAUAGACUUUUGGAAAUAGGUUUAUGGUCUAAUUUCUGACGUUAUAUAGCAGUUUUUCCGUUUGUCAAGUAAA